UACGUAGGGGGCAAGCGUUGUCCGGAUUUAUUGGGCGUAAAGAGCGUGUAGGCGGCUUCACAGGUCCGCUGUGAAAACUCGAGGCUCAACCUCGAGCUGUCGGUGGAAACCGUGUGGCUAGAGUCCGGAAGAGGAGAGUGGAAUUCCCGGUGUAGCGGUGAAAAUGCGCAGAUAUCGGGAAGAACACCCGUGGCGAAGGCGGCUCUCUGGGACGGUACUGACGCUGAGACGCGAAAGCGUGGGGAGCGAACAGG
rnacentral:rRNA from 1 species